rnacentral:rRNA from 1 species
CCUACGGGGGGCAGCAGUGAGGAAUAUUGGUCAAUGGGCGUAAGCCUGAACCAGCCAAGUUGCGUGAGGGAUGAAGGUUCUAUGGAUCGUAAACCUCUUUUAUAAGGGAAUAAAGUGUGGGACGUGUCCCAUUGUGGAUGUACCUUAUGAAUAAGGAUCGGCUAACUCCGUGCCAGCAGCCGCGGUAAUACGGAGGAUCCGAGCGUUAUCCGGAUUUGUUGGGUUUAAAGGGUGCGUAGGCGGGCUUGUAAGUUAGCGGUGAAAGUCUGUGGCUCAACCAUAGAAUCGCCGUUGAGACUGGCGGGCUUGAGUGUGUUUGAGGCAGGCGGAAUGCGUGGUGUAGCGGUGAAAUGCUUAGAUAUCAGGCAGAACCCCGAUUGCGAAGGCAGCCUACCGAGCCACGACUGACGCUGAUGCACGAAAGCGUGGGGAGCAAACAGGAUUAGAUACCCUUGUAGUC